UUUUAACCCCGUGUGUUCUCAGAGGCGUAUCCAAACCCUUAGUGGCCACAUUAAAUGCCAAUUUUGAAUUUGGCCACUGAUUGGCCCGACUUAGACCUUUCCAAAAACACAUUUCCGGGCCAAACCAUGACAAGGACAUAGUGUACCUUUUUGUCUUGAAAGGUUACAAAGUUCACUCUGGUGUAUCUGAUCAGAAAAAGGUGAAUGAACUUUGCAGAAAGGACAGAGAUAUAUUUUACUGACAAAGUUUAAACACAGUUUCAUUUCUAAAGACAUAAAUACAGAUAUAAUGUCCUCAGACAUAGCUGCUAGAUUUAGUUAUGCUUGAGCAGUUGGACUGUGAUAAACUCAAAAUAAAAAGGGUUUAUUGAACAAUAUCAGUUGGUCACAGCUGGUCUGGGCCAAAGUGUGCAUAAGUUGAAACACUGUUGACAAAGGGAUAACAGGGUCAAAAAACUGCAGUAACAUUGCAAUAUUUGAUCAUAUGCUCUUAGCUGUAUCACUAGAAACCUUUUAAAGCCCUGAACCAGCAGAUUUACAACUGCUGUGUUUAUGGUUGCUUUUAAAAAUAAGUUUAAUUGGCAAUGGGUUCCACAAUUUAACCACAAUAUGAGAAAGAUAAUUUCAUCAGUGAACCAAUUGUCAUCUUUUCAUGUAGUUGAAUAUUUCUUUGUUUUUGAAACACAGAAUGCAAGCAUUUGCUUUAAAUAUUUUUUCCAUUUUUUAUUUGCUCUGUAUUUACUAAAUAACCUCUUUCAUCCUUUUCUUAACACAACCAAUUCUCACAAAUUUCAGGGGUUUUUUUCUCAGAUUCUGACCAUUCCUAUCACUUUGCACUGAGUAUUUUAUUGAGUCCUGCUUCCUUUUGAAGAGCUCUAUAAACAGUGCAUGAUUGUCUCAAGAAUCUAAACCAAGUAAAUAAGGGAAAGAUAUCACCAUCUGAUAGGGAAACCACAACAAAAACAAGGAAAGAAGUACAUGAUUAGAGAAACAUUCAGGUACAAAAAUGUCUAAUUCUGCGAGAUAUGCACCAGAUAUCCCUUUUUUUUUUUUUUUUUUUUUGUGGGAUUCAAUUUAGAUGCUUUGCUUAGUCACAAGCUCCUCUGUCAGGAUCUGCCUUUUUCCAGUGACUACAUAAAUUCAUACACAGAGAACAUCACAUUUUUAAAUUAAAGGCCUAAAAUCAUAUGACCUGAAUCUCUUUCCAGAGAGACUAGCAAAAGGUUUUUUUAAGUUACUCAAAUCAGUCAUUGAAUACCUUUAAAAUUCUAGCUUUGAUUUUUUAAGGAUUAAAUAGGACACCUGAAGCCAAUUAGGAAAUUGAAUCCAGGUUGUCUUUGUUCAAAACUAGCACUGCAACAGUUAUUCUACUUCUCUAUCCUAUAAAAUAUGCAAAUUUGAGCAUUCCAAUUCUAGCUUUCAUUUUUGCUGUCGUGUCUAAUUAUGUAGAGGGAAAUAAAAACAAUUAUGACUUUUCAGAAAAAAGUGCUUUUAGUCACACAGUUACAGAUGAUGCUCACAGUUCCUUUGUACUAAUGCCCUAUUCAUUGAAAAGAUUUUAAAAUUAUCAUAAGAAAUUACCAUUUAGUAAAUAAUGAUACCCACAGAGGAAUGAAAACAAACCAAACCCAUUUUUAUUUCUCUUUAACAUUCAUAAAAGUUUAGUUUGCUUUUCUUCUCAAAUCUAUUUUUGAGCCAAGUAAAGUGCCCUCCUCCCCUAAGCUAUUAAAUUCCUUACAGUCUUUUUUUUGUCCUGAUGUGCCAUUUCAUUGACAUGUUGGAAUUAGCUCAGAGAUCACAACUGCCAAAGCCCUGUGAUCACACAGAGCUGGCCCUCCCACUACUGAUGCUGUUCAGAGCAUCCACAGCUACAGCUGCUCAAAAUGAGAUCAGCCAGCUUAUUCUCUGGGCUCUUUUCAAGAUUGCUCCUGUGGCUGCUCUGCUUCCACCUGCUCUGCCCUGAGCAAAGUGUUUCUACUGCACAAAUACUCAAGGACCAAGAUGAGUUCCAGUGUAUCUCACUUUUUAAGAGAAAAAAAAAGAAUCCCUUCAAAAAAAUAAAUCACAGAUUCUUGUCUCUGAUCUAGGUAAGGACUUCAGCAGUGCAUUUGAAUUUUCAUGAUGCUAUAUUCACUUUUGAUUUCCAUUAUUAGGAUUUUGAUAUAGAUUUUUUGCUACAUUUCAUAUCUAAAUAAUGUCACAAUUUGUUUAGAGAAUUUCACUUCAUUUCUUUGGUGCAGUGCCUGCAAGGAAGUUAAGCAAUUGCAAGCUCACCAAAGUAAGAAACCUUUAGGAAAGCACCAGAAUCACAGAAGAUAAAGCACAUAUCAAAAACCAUUUCCAUACUCCAGAACUGGUUCUGCUGGUUUUGUUGCUAUUCAAGUGGUUGUGUAGGUUUUGGUGUUUUUUAUUGUGAGUGGUGACAAAGUAAGAGAAGAAGAGUUUGUGAAACUAGAGAAUGAAAGCUGAAAAUUGUUCAGGGGGUGAAUUUCUCACCUGAUGGAUUGCCUGCCUACUAAUAUUUGCAGCUGUCAAUAUCUGCUAGCAUCUGUUGAAGAUUGUGUCACAAGGGGGACUGCUGCACCCGUAGCAUGGGCAUCCAAUGUUCCUGUUUGUUCCAGGAGUUUCUUCGACAAAACUAUAUCUUCCUUUGAUGAAAUGGAGGGAUGGCAUAAAAGCUCCAUCCCAUGUGAGGGAAGUGGCACCUCUAUUUCUUGCAACAAACAUUAGAAGAAAUUGAACAGGACAAAAGGACUGUGCUGGGAGACUAUUUUUAAUGAGGAAGAGAAAGGAAGAGAAAAACACUGAAGAGAUGGAACGAAGGAAACUUUUUAGCAAUGAAAUAGGGACACCUUCACUUUGACUCAAAAGGGCAUCCAUAAGAAUAUAAUUAUGUAAAUGUCAAGAAGGCUAGAAGUGGUUUUAAUGUUGUACAUUAAGAUAUAUAUUAAUAAUAUGAUGGAAUUGGGAGCAGAAAAGCCUAUACUAAAUAGAAUGAAAAACGUUCUGACAGGAAGUUACAUUAGGCUGUAGAAUAGUUUUCCACCGGGAAGCCAUCACUUAAGGGCUUUUUCUUCCAUCAGCAUGUUCCCCAAUUCUAUGAAGAUUCAUAUUCAGCUCUUCAUGUCUAAAUGGAAAAUUAAACAAGAGAGAUAAUUUCAGCAAGUCCCGAAGUCCCUCAGUAAUUUUAAAGAAAUUCAGUUACAUCCUCUUAUAAAAAUAUCCCUUGCUGGCGUUAAGUAUAGACACCACUCUAUAUAUUUUAUUGAGUUAUGUUUAAAAAUAAUUUAUUUAAUUAAAAAGUGAAGCUCUUUCUCUGAGUUUAGAUGUGAGGGGUUUUUUUUGUGAUAGGCCUGUCAUAUUUUGUCCUUCUUGCAAGACUUUGGGAGUAUUUGCUGUAUCUGGACUACAGAAUGCAUGCACACAAAAUGUUUUAAGUUCUAAAUACUGUCUAAAGUGCCUGUUUCUUGAACUUUGAAAGUCCAGGGGUCAAAGUAAAAGCUGCUUGAUUCAUUGAGGAUGCUGAGCUGCAUUUUCAAGUUCAAAAUACCCGUGAUCUGUGUGAGGCAGAAGACAAACCGAGCCUGAAGUCUGAGAUCAAGUCUGAGCUCUAGUCCUGGAGACAGGGUGUCUGUUUCUGUUAUUAUGAUUAAAACAUUGGCCUUUGAAGUAAUGGGGCAUAUCCAGAGGUAUGGGAACCUCACGGAAAAGUAGGUCUUUGCCAGAAAGUUAAAAGUUUCGAACAUCAACUCACGCUACAGUUUUUGUUCUGUUUGUGGGAUUUGUUUGUUUGCUUGCUUGUUUUUGGUUUUGGUUUUAUUUUCUGGCCUACCCUUUUCAAAUGAACCAUUUUUAACCAUUUUAAAAAUUAGGCAUGUAAGAUGUUUUCUCCUUAUUUUUUUUUUUUUUUGGUUCUUUUAUGUCACUUAGGACUGUGGUUUGCGUUUGGGGCAAGACAACUUUUAAGAUGUAUUAUGUUUUAUACUGCAACUGUGAGAGAGAGGAUUUUCUACUGCACUGCCCUUGGUCCAGAAAAUCAGGAUUUAAUUUACUUCUCUGUCAUAAAUUAUCUGUAUGAGAUAAGGCAUCUUGAGAUACAAAAAGAUUUUUCAGUAAUAUGCACAGUUGAGAAAGACCUUCUUAAGCACCAAGUGGAAUAUAACGCAAUAUACCUUUUGGAUAUUCAUCCCAUUUUCUAUGGAACCUUGAGUAAUUUACUCAAAUCUCUAUCUGUAUAAUGAUAUUUUAUGACUAUUUCAACAUAUUUAUGCAGUACUGUAAAACAAUUGUGUUACAAUGCAAAUAUUUUAAAAAUAUUUUUUAAAAACCCCAACUAUAUUUUCUCUUUUGUUAGACAAUUGCAAAAUUGCACGUUUUGCCAGAGAAUUUGUGUUUCAUACUGUUCAUGAAUUAUGGGGGUUGAUAACCACAAAACCUUUUUUUACCCCAGCAGAGAGAUGGAUGGUUGAAGCUAGUAAUAUUCUAUUGUAUCAAUGCCAUGUAUUUUAUUAUUUUUUGUUCAGCUUCUUGUGAAAAAAUACAGGUCUCACCUUUUAGGUUAUUCUAAAUGCAUUAAGUUUUCUGCUAAAAUGUUGCUUAUGGAUAAAUGAUUGUGGUUAUCAGUGUCUAAACUAUUGAUUAAAUAGCACAAAAAUUCUCACAUUAAAA